CUCUCCACCAUCAGUCAUUAUCAACAUUUUUGGAUCACUAUUAUUAAUUUGAAUUAAAGAAGUUUAUUAUUUGUUACAAAGAGAUCACUCAAAAAAUGCUUUUUCUUCACUUUUAUGUCUUUAUAUGUUCACUUAGAGCUUUUGCCUAUUCAUGGGCUCAGCCCAAUACCUCAUCGUGUGGAUAUCGUGACUUUAACAUGUGCCUUCCCUGCUAAACUAUGUGUAACAUGAAGACAAGGACAAUCUCCGCCUUGCUCAUCCAUCUCUUUGUAGUACCUUAUCCAAGUCCUGAAGCAUCUCAGGAACAAAAUAUUUCUGUUAAUUGAAUGAGUGGAAGAAGCUCCAGGCAUUCAAGUAUGUUUAUGGCAACAUCUCAAAUCAUUCACCUUGCUUCUCAAUGAUGUCUAUCCUUCUCAAGAUUGGGGAAUUCAGAAUUCAUAAUGAUAUUCUUUUAGUUUUGAUUCCAAUUCUUUUCUCAAUCUCUCCACCUUCCUCGUCACACAUUUAAAGUACAGAGAACGUAAGGUAGCUGUGUAAAGAACCAACUGAAGCCAAUUCUGGUAGGAAACACUUGCUUGUUUUAUUUAAUCAGAUAACACAAAAUAACUGGUGAAUAUGUUCUUUCUUAUAAUUUGGCUCAAUUGACUGGUGUUUUGGUCAUCAUGUUUCUACUUACACCAGUCUCCCAUGGAGUUCAAUUUCACUUUUCUCUGUGUGUGUUCUUGUGUGUGGUAGGUAGAAUAGUAGUUCCUGAGGAUUCCCACUCUGUAAUCCCUGGAACUGUGAAUAUGUUACCUUACAUAGCUAAAGAGACUGCAGAUGUGAUUUAGGAUACAGAUUUUGAGAUGGGGUGAUCACCCUGAGAUAUCUGGUGGCUCCAAUCUAAUUACAUGAUUCCUUUAGAGGUAGAGAAAUUUUCCUAUCUGUAUUUAACGAGAUGUGACAAUGAAAGACAUUUUCAGAAAGAGGUGACAUGGCUGACUUCAAAGAUGGAAGACCAGGUCCUGAGCUAAAGUCUACAAGUGGCCUCUGGAAGCUGAAAAGGGCAAGAAAACAGAUUCUCCUCUGGAGCCUCUGUAAAGAACCCAACAACACUUUCCUUUAGCCCAGGGAGACCCAUGCUAAACUUCUGACCUACUGAAUUGUAAGGGAAUAAAUUGUGUUCUUUUAAGUGAAUAAAUUUAUAGUAAUUUGUUAUAGUGUUAGAGAAUAAAUAUAUUGAUAAUUUUUGAUCAGUUUAUGUGAAUCUAUAUUCUUAGUUCUAGAAAGUUAUUUUAAUAAAAAUUAUUAAAAAUUACAUUUUCAUAACAGCAUACUGUUUGGCUAAGAAAAUUUAAAUACUUGUGGAUUUUUUAAAUUGGCCCUAUUGGUUAAGAGAAAAUAUAAUCAGGUAAGGCAGAUGGGAUUUUAAUAGGUAGGGCCAUGUUCCUCCUUCUUUGGGGGAAUUUUGUGGGAAUCAUUAUGUAUAGUUAGACUUGGAGUGUAUGUGGUAUGGACAUGUUUUCCUUGACUGAGGAGACGGAGAAUGGUAGAAGGGCUGUGGGAGAUGGAAACUGUCUUGGUAUUUGUGGUCAGGUUGGUGAAAUAUUUGGUGGCUUGUUGAUCUUAUAUAUGGCUCUUUCAGUCAUAAUCUUUUGGCAGUGUGACAGUAUCCUUCAUCGGGAGUUUUCUAAUAUUUGACUUAAUAUCAACAUGGGAAUAAAGAAAUGAAAAUAAGAAACUCGAAGUUUAAAUACAUUAUACAAGAUCAUGGUUAAAAUUGCAUUAGAGGUUAAUCUUUGGUUUCUUUGAUUUCUAUUUCCAUUUCUAAGUGAAUAAAGUAAGUAAAAUCUUUAAAAGUUAACAAGCAACCAAUUUUUAAAUACACAUUUUUUGUUCUUCCAAAGUAUAUCUAUUUAAAAAGUUUAUUAAAGUCUUCACUCUUUGAAAUGAUACAGGUAUCUUCAAGUUUAAAAAAAAUUAUUCUCCCAUUUGGCAUAUGUAUUAGUUUCCUACUAACUGCUAUAACAAAUUGGCACAAAUUUAGUAGCUUAAAACGACACAAAUUUCAGACACAAGUCUGAAAUGAAAGUGAGAUGCUAAAAUCAAGGUUUGUGCAAGGCUAGAUCCUUCUGGAGGCUCCAGGCAAUAGUCUGUUUCCUCACUUCUUUCAGCUUCCAGAAGGAUAAGUUACUGUGGACAGGUUGGUGGACAGGUUACUUCUUGUCUCAUGAGCAUAUCACUGCACUCUUGACCCUGUCAUCACAGCUGCUUCUCUGAUUCUCCCUAAUCCCUAUUUUAAGAACUUUUGUGAUUGUAUCAGUUUCAUCCAAAUAAUGCAUCUCCCCAUCUCAAAUUCUUUAGCCACCUGCAAAACUCCCCUUUGCCCUGUCGAGUAACAGGUAGGGGUUCUAGGAUUGGGAUACAGGCAUAUUUACAGCCUACCACAAUAUAAACUAGAAAUCAUAAAUGCUCUGAAGUCUUUCAGUAUUGCUAUUCUUACCUUAAAAGUCCAAAACCAACCUUUACAAAGGAAGAUUCUGUGUAAAAUAUCCUCAACUAUUAUUUCAACCAGCAUACUCCAUGUAGUUCACAAUUCAUAGAUAGUAGAACUACAGAGUUUUCAGAAACUGGAGAAAAUAUAUAUUGCAUAACUUCUUUGAAUCAAUGAGAAGACUGAUUAAAGAUCUUAAAUUAUGUGCCCAGAGCCACUGACCAAACUUAGAAGUAAAACAAGGGCCAGGAAAAGACACAAAGAAACACUUACUGAAUAUAGUUCAGUUAUGUGCCAGACACUGCAUAUUUUGUACAUCUUCUGGGUCAGUCUUAUUACUUCAAUGUAUAGAGAUACAGAAAGUGAAACCAAGAAAAUGACUGCCUAGUUCAGGAUCACACAGAUAUUUUGAUGAAUUCAGUUCCUGGAAAACUUGUAAAUAACAGAUAUCUGUUUCUCACAGUUUGGAGGCUGGGAAGUCCAGGAGGAAGGUGUGGACAGAUUUGGUGUCCAGCAAUAGAGGCAAAUGCUAUGUUCUUGCAUGGUGGAAGGCAUAGAGGGAACAGAAUCAAUGUCCACUCCUUGUCCAGUUGAAUUCAGGUGUGCUGUGUGAUGUCCUCAGAAUGGGUCCUUCUGAGUUGAAUGUUUCUCAGCUGCUUCUUGCUCAGCCAUGCUUCUUUCACUUAGCCAGAGUGACUGGCUAUGUUCUCAGUAAAGGAAGCUCUGUGAACCUGGGUCCCAAAAUGAAAAGAACCUGGACACGUGUGUAUCGUUAAAACAAGACGUGAAUCCCUGCUAUUGUAAGUCACUGAGAUUUAGGGGCCAUUUGUAUGGUGAAAUUGAUUCCUCUGCAGUAGUUACCAAGUUUCAAGGCUGUCUGAUUUUAAAGUCUAUUUCCAUGGUUUGAAUUUUUGUGUCUCUUCCAAAAUUCAUGCAGGAAAAUUAAUUCCCAAUGUAGCAUUUUAAAGAGGUGAGGCCUUUACAAGGUGGUUAGGGCAGGAGGUCGCUCUCAGGGUUGGUUUAGUGCCUUGUAAAAGAGCUUGAAUGAGUGAGUUUGUCCCUUCUAUCCUUUCUCCAUGUAAGAACAGUGUUUGCCACCUGCCCUGUGAGGACACAGCCACAAAAUCCCAUCCUGGAAGCAGAAAGUGAGCCUUCCUCCAACACCAAACCUGCUGAUGCCUUGAUCUUGGAUCUCCUGGCCUCCAAAUGGUGAG
rnacentral:lncRNA from 1 species